CACGUAGGGGGCAAGCGUUGUCCGGAUUUAUUGGGCGUAAAGAGCUCGUAGGCGGCUCAGUAAGUCAGGUGUGAAACCUCCAGGCUCAACCUGGAGACGCCACCUGAUACUGCUGUGGCUAGAGUCCGGUAGGGGAGCGUGGAAUUCCUGGUGUAGCGGUGAAAUGCGCAGAUAUCAGGGAGGAACACCAGCGGGCGAAGGCGGGUUGCUGGGCUGACACU
rnacentral:rRNA from 1 species